AAGACUAUACUUUCAGGGAUCGUUCUAUAGUUUCUGACUUGAGAAAUGUGUUUCUAAAGUGUUUGGUCUCGCUAACCACGAUGAUGAGUCGUGAUAUUUCCUUCUGAGCGUGAAGCUGACAGAGAAUAAUGAUUCAGUUCGUAUGUUCUCUGUCAUUGAUGACCGUUCGUUGUUUCCUAGAGGAGCAUUAAGGAAGGGAAUAUGAUCAGAGUGGUA
ensembl:snoRNA